rnacentral:miRNA from 1 species
UAGUGAGGACUUAAGGAAACUCA